rnacentral:sRNA from 1 species
UUCACAACCGAAUUGUUAUCAGAGGACUAAAUACCAUUCCAUUGUUUGUGCAGCUGCUUUAUUCUCCCAUUGAAAACAUCCAAAGAGUAGCUGCAGGGGUCCUCUGUGAACUUGCUCAGGACAAGGAAGCUGCAGAAGCUAUUGAAGCUGAGGGAGCCACAGCUCCUCUGACAGAGUUACUUCACUCUAGGAAUGAAGGUGUGGCGACAUAUGCAGCUGCUGUUUUGUUCCGAAUGUCUGAGGACAAGCCACAAGAUUACAAGAAACGGCUUUCAGUUGAGCUGACCAGCUCUCUCUUCAGAACAGAGCCCAUGGCUUGGAAUGAGGUAGGGAAAUGUGAGCAGUUAUUUAUCUGGUAGUUUCCUAGAGCAGGUAAGGCAGCUUGUUCUUUCCUCUCAAAACACUUAGUACACAUUCAUUUGCAUUGAUGUUUCCCUGGCUUGAGUAUUUCUUCUUUAUGCUGUCCAGCAACUGCUCUGAGGAAGAACUAUAAUACAAGCUUUAAAGAGCCUGUUCAGAAUCAUUACAAAUAAGUUGUGUUAUUUAAAAUUAUAAUUCAUAAGGGAGAAAAAUGAAAAAUGUUACCAGAUUAAAGAAGAUUUUUCAAAAGGAUGUAAGGAAAGAGGCAGUUAAACACUGUUAGAAGACAGUUUAUCAGUAUUUUUUACUAAACUUUAAUAAAACUUUUCUAUUUGAAUUCAGUAUUUGUCCUCAGUACAGGUGUUCCUUGAAACAUUGUUUCUAAUAAAACUAGAACCAUCCUGAUAUUUUAUCCACUCUAUAGAGAUCAUUGAUGGUACACAGUCAUACAGU